GGACGAUUAGCACAGUGGUAGCGCACUUCCUUCACACGGAAGGGGUCACAAGUUCGAAUCUUGUAUCGUCCA
rnacentral:tRNA from 1 species